CCUACGGGAGGCUGCAGUGAGGAAUAUUGGUCAAUGGGCUAAGGCCUGAACCAGCCAAGUCGCGUGAGGGAAGACGGUCCUAUGGAUUGUAAACCUCUUUUGUCGGGGAGCAACGAGGCCUCGCGUGGCCGAAGUGAGAGUACCCGUAGAAAAAGCAUCGGCCAACACCGUGCCAGCAGCCGCGGUAAUACGGAGGAUGCGAGCGUUACCCGGAUUGAUUGGGUUUAAGGGGUGCGUAGGCGGUCGGAUAAGUUAGAGGUGAAAUCCCGAGGCUCAACUUCGGAAUUGCCUCUGAUACUGUGCGGCUAGAGAGUGGUUGCGGUAGGCGGAAUGUAUGGUGUAGCGGUAAAAUGCUUAGAGAUCAUACAGAACACCGAUUGCGAAGGCGGCUUACCAAGAUACUUCUGACGUUGAGGCACGAAAGCGUGGGGAGCAAACAGGAUUAGAUACCCUUGUAGUC
rnacentral:rRNA from 1 species